CGCCCUGCAAACGCCUUUUCUCUUUCUAUAAAUCUUCUCAACCCUCCACUCAUCACUCAUUUCGUCUGUAAUCUCCUCGAAGAUUGAAGAGAUAAGAAAAAAGAGGAUAAAAGAUGGCAUCUAUGCAGACUGCUUUGACUUCAAUUGUGUGCAAAAAUGUGAGCAACUCUGCCUUUCUGCCUGGGUUUCAUUUGCCUGGGCAUGUUGCUGGUUUGUGGAGAAAGGAUAUGUGUCCCAAUUCAUUUUCAGGUCCCAGAGCAACCUUAACUUUCGACCCACCAACUGACAAUAAUGCUAAUGCCAAAUCUAAGCAAAGGAAGAACACUGUUGAUCCUAAUGCUCCAGAUUUUCUUCCACUUCCAUCAUUUGAAGAGUGCUUUCCAAAGAGCUCAAAAGAGCAAAAGGUGGUUGUUCAUGAGCAAUCUGGUCAUGUUCUCAAAGUCCCAUUUAGGCGCAUCCACCUUACCGGGGAUGAACCCCAUUUCGACACCUAUGAUACUAGUGGACCUCAGGAUGUAAACCCCCGUGUUGGACUCCCCAAGUUGCGAAAGGAGUGGAUUGACAGGAGGGAGAAGUUGGGUGGACCAAGGUACACUCAAAUGUUCUAUGCUAAACAGGGAAUCAUAACUGAGGAGAUGGCAUUCUGUGCUGCUCGUGAGCAGCUUGACCCGGAGUUUGUGCGAUCGGAGGUUGCCCGGGGACGUGCUAUCAUUCCUUCGAACAAAAAACACUUGGAGCUGGAGCCUAUGAUUGUAGGAAGAAACUUCCUUGUGAAAGUGAAUGCUAACAUUGGAAAUUCAGCUGUUGUGAGUUCCAUUGAGGAGGAAGUACACAAGCUCCAAUGGGCAACGAUGUGGGGUGCAGAUACAAUCAUGGAUCUCUCUACAGGUCGUCACAUCCAUGAAACUCGUGAAUGGAUCUUGCGUAACUCUGCUGUACCGGUUGGGACUGUGCCAAUCUACCAAGCAUUGGAAAAAGUGAAUGGCAUUGCUGAGAACCUGUCUUGGGAAGUUUUCAGAGACACGUUGAUCGAACAAGCUGAGCAAGGCGUUGAUUACUUCACCAUCCAUGCUGGAGUCCUGCUUCGCUACAUCCCCUUAACUGCAAAGCGAAUGACUGGAAUUGUUUCCCGGGGAGGCUCCAUACACGCAAAGUGGUGCUUAGCUUAUCACAAGGAGAACUUUGCUUAUGAGCAUUGGGAUGACAUACUAGACAUAUGCAAUCAGUAUGAUAUAUCUUUAUCAAUUGGCGAUGGGCUGAGGCCUGGGUCCAUUUAUGAUGCGAAUGACACUGCUCAAUUUGCUGAACUCUUAACUCAAGGAGAAUUGACUCGCAGAGCUUGGGAGAAGGAUGUACAGGUUAUGAAUGAAGGACCUGGACAUGUUCCGAUGCACAAGAUUCCCGAGAACAUGCAGAAACAACUGGAGUGGUGUAACGAAGCACCAUUCUACACUCUUGGACCUCUCACAACUGACAUAGCUCCCGGAUAUGAUCACAUAACCUCAGCCAUUGGAGCUGCUAAUAUUGGAGCACUUGGCACUGCACUGUUGUGUUAUGUGACUCCAAAAGAGCAUCUUGGGUUGCCUAAUCGGGAUGAUGUGAAGGCUGGAGUUAUAGCAUAUAAGAUAGCGGCUCAUGCUGCUGAUCUAGCAAAAGGUCACCCUCUGGCACAAACCUGGGAUGAUACGCUAAGCAAGGCAAGAUUUGAGUUCCGAUGGAUAGACCAGUUUGCUUUGUCACUCGACCCCAUGACUGCCAUGUCCUUCCAUGAUGAAACUCUACCGUCUGAUGGUGCUAAAGUGGCCCAUUUCUGCUCCAUGUGUGGGCCUAAAUUCUGUUCGAUGAAGAUUACUGAAGAUAUACGGAAGUAUGCUGAGGAUCACGGGUAUGGAAGUGCAGAGGAAGCCAUCCGACGUGGGAUGGAUGCUAUGAGUGCUGAGUUCCAAGCUGCAAAGAAAACUGUGAGUGGUGAACAACACGGUGAGGUUGGAGGGGAAAUCUAUCUGCCAACAAAUUACGUAAACUCUUUGAAGAUCUAAAGGGGCUUUGCAGGAUGAUAAGGACACAUGAAGAACUAACUGGUUUGGAACUUGUAUGAGACAUCCAGGCAAUUCAGGCCAGUCUAGCAAGAAUCUCAAGAUCUUCAUCCCCCCAUCAUGAUAGGGGUGUCUGUAUCUGCUCCAGCCCUGGCUCCCUCGGCCAGGAUGCUGGCUGAAACAGGCUGAGAAAGUCCCUUCGAACCUGAACAGGAUAAUGCCUGCGUAGGGAGCGUGCAUUUCCUUUUCUCUUGUUUUCUAUGUUUGCACAGGGAUGGUGGAGAAUUACCACAAGCCCUGGCUGGCUGGCUGGCUUGUGUUUGGCUGCACCCCUGUCGGGAGCAGUUAGCACCGCCAUUUUCUUAUCUGCCCAGUAGUAAUAACUUACAUUGUUUACCAAUUUUGUCUUGCACAUCAACACACAAACAACUGAGAUUGUAUGUUUCCACCAAGAACAAGAAGCACAAGUGCCUUAUCUUCAGCCAUUGGGAGAAAAAUCAAAAUCUCACCAAAUAAUGUGCUUCUGUUUCUUGGACACUUCAGUGGCAUCAUCUACAAGAAUCUGGGUUUAUUACCUUAAUUUUCCAGUUUCUUUGGUUCCAUUAUAAUAGGGAGGGAUUGAAAGCUUAGUUCAUCUUUCUCAUCCAAUUCACAUGGAUUUCGCUUUUGUGAUUUUCAUAAGUCAAUUGAAAUGGCAUCUAAUAUUCAAGAUAA